AUUGAACGCUGGCGGCAUGCCUUACACAUGCAAGUCGAACGGUAACAGGUCUUCGGAUGCUGACGAGUGGCGAACGGGUGAGUAAUACAUCGGAACGUGCCUAGUAGUGGGGGAUAACUACUCGAAAGAGUGGCUAAUACCGCAUGAGAUCUACGGAUGAAAGCAGGGGAUCGCAAGACCUUGUGCUACUAGAGCGGACGAUGGCAGAUUAGGUAGUUGGUGGGAUAAAAGCUUGCCAAGCCGACGAUCUGUAGCUGGUCUGAGAGGACGAACAGCCACACUGGGACUGAGACACGGCCCAGACUCCUACGGGAGGCAGCAGUGGGGAAUUUUGGACAAUGGGCGCAAGCCUGAUCCAGCAAUGCCGCGUGCAGGAUGAAGGCCUUCGGGUUGUAAACUGCUUUUGUACGGAACGAAAAGCCCUGGGUUAAUACCCUGGGGUCAUGACGGUACCGUAAGAAUAAGCACCGGCUAACUACGUGCCAGCAGCCGCCGUAAUAC
rnacentral:rRNA from 1 species